rnacentral:rRNA from 1 species
UGGAGAAUAUUGCACAAUGGACGGAAGUCUGAUGCAGCAACGCCGCGUGCGGGAUGACGGCCUUCGGGUUGUAAACCGCUUUUUCUCAUGACGAAGUUUUUUGACGGUAGUGGGGGAAGAAGCACCGGCUAACUACGUGCCAGCAGCCGCGGUGAUACGUAGGGUGCGAGCGUUGUCCGGAAUUAUUGGGCGUAAAGAGCUUGUAGGCGGUUUGUCGCGUCGAUAGUGCAAACUCAGUGCUUAACGCUGAGCCUGCUGUUGAUACGGGCAGACUAGAGGAAGGUAGGGGAGAAUGGAAUUCCCGGUGGAGCGGUGGAAUGCGCAGAUAUCGGGAGGAACACCGGUGGCGAAGGCGGUUCUCUGGGCCUUUCCUGACGCUGAGAAGCGAAAGCGUGGGGAGCGAACAGG